rnacentral:rRNA from 1 species
AGUGAACGCUGGCGGUAGGCCUAACACAUGCAAGUCGAACGGCAGCACAGUAAGAGCCUGCUCUUACGGGUGGCGAGUGGCGGACGGGUGAGGAAUACAUCGGAAUCUACUUUUUCGUGGGGGAUAACGUAGGGAAACUUACGCUAAUACCGCAUACGACCUACGGGUGAAAGCAGGGGAUCUUCGGACCUUGCGCGAUUGAAUGAGCCGAUGUCGGAUUAGCUAGUUGGCGGGGUAAAGGCCCACCAAGGCGACGAUCCGUAGCUGGUCUGAGAGGAUGAUCAGCCACCCUGGAACUGAGACACGGUCCAGACUCCUACGGGAGGCAGCAGUGGGGAAUAUUGGACAAUGGGCGCAAGCCUGAUCCAGCCAUACCGCGUGGGUGAAGAAGGCCUUCGGGUUGUAAAGCCCUUUUGUUGGGAAAGAAAAGCAGCAGGUUAAUACCCCGCUGUUCUGACGGUACCCAAAGAAUAAGCACCGGCUAACUUCGUG